AUAAAAGCUGUGAUAGAGAGAGUAGACUUUUAAGUACUUUACAGAGAGUUGGGUUAGGUGAAAGCCAAUAUGUAUGAGAAAGUUGAAAAUCACUCUGGAGCUGUAGGCUGAACGAUUUUAUCUAUUAAGCUGAGCCGGUUAGUGCCGUUAAACUAUAGAGUGUUACAUAUUAUUUAUUUUAAUAUGUAAAAUUAGGGUGGUAACGCGAUUAUAACUCGUCCCUUUG
rfam:Negativicoccus succinicivorans DORA_17_25 Q612_NSC00050, whole genome shotgun sequence.